GACGAACGCUGGCGGCGUGCCUAAUACAUGCAAGUCGAACGCAGUGGGGACGGGUGAGUAACACGUGGGUAACCUCCCCAUCAGAGGGGAUAACACUUGGACACAGGUGCUAAACCGAUAUUGAUGGAUGGACCCGCGGUGCAUUAGCUAGUUGGUGAGGUAAUGGCUCACCAAGGCCACGAUGAAUAGCCGACCGGCGCGGGGGAUCGGCCACAUGGGGACUGAGACACGGCCCAGACUCCUACGGGAGGAAGCAGUAGGGAAUCUUCGGAAAUGGACGAAAGUCUGACCGAGCAACGCCGCGUGAGUGAAGAAGGUUUUCGGAUCGUAAAACUCUGUUGUUAGAGAAGCGGUAUCUAACCAGAAAGCAACGGCUAACUACGUGCCAGCAGCCGCGGUAAUUC
rnacentral:rRNA from 1 species